rnacentral:rRNA from 1 species
AUUGAACGCUGGCGGCAUGCUUUACACAUGCAAGUCGAACGGCAGCGGGGAGGAGCUUGCUUCUCUGCCGGCGAGUGGCGAACGGGUGAGUAAUACAUCGGAACUUGUCGAGAAGAGGGGGAUAACCACCCGAACGGGUGGCUAAUACCGCAUAAAUUCUGAGGAAGAAAGCUGGGGACCUGGGAAUAGGCCUAGCGCUUUUUGAGCGGCCGAUGUCGGAUUAGCUAGUUGGUGAGGUAAAGGCUCACCAAGGCGAAGAUCUGUAGCGGGUCUGAGAGGAUGAUCCGCCACACUGGGACUGAGACACGGCCCAGACUCCUACGGGAGGCAGCAGUGGGGAAUUUUGGACAAUGGGGGCAACCCUGAUCCAGCCAUGCCGCGUGUAUGAAGAAGGCCUUAGGGUUGUAAAGUACUUUUGUUAGGGAAGAAAAGUCAGCUGUGAAUAAUGGCUGAUACUGACGGUACCUAAAGAAUAAGCACCGGCUAACUACGUG